rnacentral:rRNA from 1 species
GACGAACGCUGGUGGCGUGCUUAACACAUGCAAGUCGAACGGGAUUUAGUAAACAGAAGCCUCGGUGGAAGAUUACUAAUGAGAGUGGCGAACGGGUGAGUAACGCGUGAGCAACCUGCCUAUGACAGUGGGAUAGCCUCGGGAAACCGGGAUUAAUACCGCAUAAAAUCGUAGAAACACAUGUUUUAACGGUCAAAGAUUUAUCGGUCAUAGAUGGGCUCGCGUCUGAUUAGCUAGUUGGUGAGAUAACAGCCCACCAAGGUGACGAUCAGUAGCCGAUCUGAGAGGAUGAACGGCCACAUUGGAACUGAGACACGGUCCAAACUCCUACGGGAGGCAGCAGUGGGGAAUAUUGCACAAUGGGGGAAACCCUGAUGCAGCGACGCCGCGUGAACGAAGAAGGUAUUCGUAUCGUAAAGUUCUGUCCUAUGGGAAGAUAAUGACAGUACCAUAGAAGAAAGCUCCGGCUAAAUACGU